GAGGUCAAACAGCAGAAAUCACAAGCUCAGCACAAGGUUAAUCCACUGUUGUUGUCAUUCAAUGUGGUUCUCGUAAAUAACUUUACAAUGUCAAGUAUCUCAAGAUUUACAGUAACGAGAACGCACUACAGGAGGACACUGGGAAGAAUGAUAUGCAUAGACAAGUGCAGCCCUUAUACAGAAAGUGUUUGGAUCUCUCCUGGAAUUCAUAUGAAACUGCCGCAUCAUAUGUUGACAACGACGACAGUGACGUUUAGUGCCAUGGCCCCAUAGUGUAGUAACAUGCUGCAGCAGAAUCCUUUUUGAAGAAAGACCACACAGGAGAUUCAUGGACGUUGUGAAGGAGGACAUCAAGAGAGCUGCUGUGACCUGUUCUUGGCAUCCUCUGGACACGUCACGAUGAAGGCGACAGCUUCCUAAAUAGAGCAGCUGAAACCAGACCUAUGCCUGAUGCAGCUUUUAAUUUUUUAGGUUUACAAGAAACCACCGAUCCAUCACAAUCCACCGUGUUAUUGCUAUACAACAAAGAUGAACAAGUCACCAGCAUCACGGGCUGACUGGCCAGACAGCUGCACUGUGCAGGUAUUUUUCCCACAUGGACAGGUUGUUUGCUGGAUUUGGGGCACAACAGCUUACAAUUUGCAUUUUAUACAUCAGAAAUCGAUGAACUAACUGAAAAGAUGCAGCAGACAGUGAAGUUAAUGUAACAUUGGAAAGACUCU